GAAAUGCGAUAAGUAAUGUGAAUUGCAGAAUUCAGUGAAUCAUCGAAUCUUUGAACGCACCUUGCGCUCCUUGGUAUUCCUUGGAGCAUGCCUGUUUGAGUAUCAUGAAAUCUUCAAAGUAAAUCUUUUGUUAACUCAAUUGUUUCUACUUUGGUAUUGGAGGUCUUUGCAGCUUCACACCUGCUCCUCUUUGUUCAUUAGCUGGAUCUCAGUGUUAUGCUUGGUUCCACUCGGCGUGAUAAGUUAUCUAUCGCUGAGGACACUGUAAAAGGUGGCCAAGGUAAAUGCAGAUGAACCGCUUCUAAUAGUCCAUUGACUUGGACAAUACUUUUAUGAUCUGAUCUCAAAUCAGGUAGGACUACCCGAUGAACUUAAGC
rnacentral:misc_RNA from 1 species